rnacentral:lncRNA from 1 species
ACGCAAGUAUUCACUAGUAAAAUUGAAGAUACAACACGUCAAAGAAAGAAAUUACAUUCACUCGACAAAUGGCUACAUUAACAACAAAAAGGAAACUACAGGGAAAGAAACAUAAAAAUACAGAUAGAUGAUGCAGCCAGCAUUCUAUCACACCAAUGCCAUUUAAGAGAAGCCCUCCUUUCCUGCACAAACUUGCACAUCCAUACGUGCUUUCCGUUGAUGGUAAACUUGGCCUUCUCCGAGCCAUCGAGAAUUUCCUGAACAACGUGGCUUUAAGGAACACGACUCAAGCAUAAAGUGGUUGCUCUUAAGGCCUAACCUUCUGCAUUGUGAAGGACUCUAUGCAAUUCCCAUAAACCAUUGCGAAGAAGUGCCUAAUUUCCAUUUCAGCCACUAGAUAACCCUUAGAAAAAGUUGCAAACAUAGUCCUGUCCUCUCAUGGUACCUCAUUUCUGAGUUGAUUUUUUUCUCGGGAAUGCAUUCCUUCCAACUCUCGUGUUAGAGAAGUUAUGGAUCAUCGACUCGUGGAAAUGACAUGACAUCAUCAUUUUCUCAACUUAAUUACUG